UCCUACGGGAGGCAGCAGUGGGGAAUAUUGGACAAUGGGCGCAAGCCUGAUCCAGCCAUGCCGCGUGAGUGAUGAAGGCCCUAGGGUUGUAAAGCUCUUUCGCCAGGGACGAUAAUGACGGUACCUGGAUAAGAAGCCCCGGCUAACUUUGUGCCAGCAGCCGCGGUAAUACGAAGGGGGCUAGCGUUGUUCGGAAUCACUGGGCGUAAAGCGCACGUAGGCGGAUCUUUAAGUCAGGGGUGAAAUCCCGAGGCUCAACCUCGGAACUGCCCUUGAUACUGGAGAUCUUGAGUUCGGGAGAGGUGAGUGGAACUGCGAGUGUAGAGGUGAAAUUCGUAGAUAUUCGCAAGAACACCAGUGGCGAAGGCGGCUCACUGGCCCGAUACUGACGCUGAGGUGCGGAAGCGUGGGGAGCAAACAGGAUUAGAUACCCUGGUAGUCCACGCCGUAAACGAUGGAUGCUAGCCGUUGGACAGCUUGCUGUUCAGUGGCGCAGCUAACGCUUUAAGCAUCCCGCCUGGGGAGUACGGUCGCAAGAUUAAAACUCAAAGGAAUUGACGGA
rnacentral:rRNA from 1 species